AGCUUAAAAUAGCGUGUCAUCCAGCGGAAGCUUUAACUUCCGGUUAGACGCGUCACACAGAGCGCAGGACCGUUAAUUAGUCAACAGGUGACAGUCUGACUGACACGACACUGUCAAACGGAUUGCGACGGAUUCUUCACCGAUGAAUGUUGUUGAGGACUAUGGUAUCACCGAAGUUUUGAAAGCAACUUUUCUCUGCGCAAGUCACCGUUAGGAUGCAGGGGUAACACAUAACAACAUGUGCGAAACACACACCUUGCAGCUGAUUUUUGGUCUGUCCGGUCCAGCAACAUAUAGAAAAGGUAGCUCUUUGAGGCGUGGCAGGGAGCUGGAGAGGAGGCCGACGAUGAACGGUGUCGGGGUGCAGACGAUGUCCAACAUGGAAGGUGGGAGCACAGGGAUAUACGUAUGCUGCCAGGUGAAUGGGUAGAGGAGAGCCACGACUGCAUGACAACACUGGGACAAAGUGCUGCAAAAAAGAGAAAAUUUAAAGUUUUCCCUCGACUGAUGCAAAGAAGUGAAUUAUGCAGCCAGAUCUGCUGUGAAGUUCUUCAGCACCAGGGGAUUUCACAGAAGGCAACGUGCCUUGACUGGGGUUAGGUUUUGGAGACAUGUUUGCUUGAAUCCCAAUGAAGUAGGAAAGGAAAGCUGGAUGGUAUAGGUCAGGAUGUAUGGAGAGGAGGAGGGAAAAAGUGGGCUGGGCAAAUAAACAAUGGAAUUUUAUCAGGGCUCAGCAGUCUCCUCUUUUUUUCUCCCUGUUUCUGGGUCCUGUUCAGGGCCCCCGCUGCUUUCCCAAGCUGAUUUCAUAGCAAGGCCUUGGACGUGAGCCAGAGAGGACAGCUUCACAAGAGUGUGUGCCAGCAUCUGUGUGUGUAUUUACUACGGAAAUGUGAUUGACACCAAUGUAGUGAGCAACUUAUUUACUAUCAGUGGGUUGAGAAGCUAUUUUAGUCUUUCAAAUAUAUAUUGACUUCUAACUUCUAACUCACCACACACUAACAAACACACUCCGACCUUCGGUUUGUCGUUUUUCACCUCUGCAAAUUUUCUCCCGGUCUAUUGUUUGUGAGAAGAGGAUGGAUACGAGACGGCAUUGAAAUUGUGCAACGGGAACAGAAGAAGAAAUAAUGCAAACAAUCAAUUUCCACCAUUUAUUUUUUCUUUUCUUGUCAGGAUUAUUAGUCAAGUUUAUAUAUAGUUCUGCCGUCCAUUGUUAUAUUUCUAGGGCCACACAUAGAGACACUUCUUGUUCUUAUAAUUGUCAUUUACAGCCAGACAUUUGACGGCCCGGGUGUCUACAUACUAUCCAACUGGGACGUGCAAGAACAGACCACAUUUUUAAUCUAGAAACAAAUUUGAAUUAUAAAAAGGGGCCGCAGAGAAAAACCAGUGUGUAAUUACAUUGCACAAUAAGAACCCAUAAAUAAGAGGGCUUAUUAUGUACUGGAAGAAUAGUUGCUCUCUGAGUCUGUGUGCAUGUCCAGGAUGUGUGAUGUGACUGACUGAGGAACUAUGGGUGUCCUCCGCUGCCUGAAAUGAAGUCAUCAGACUUUUGCACAGUAACUUGGGAAUUCACCCUUUGCUGUGCUACUCCGAGUCCACGCUUGGAUUAAUGUGACAGUUCUGAUUACACCACAAGGUCAAAGUCACAGGAAAGGGACGGGGAAAACUACAUUCACACUCAGCAAAAUCUUCCUAAAAGGCCUCCUUACUUUUAACCACCUGUCAAAAUGUACAAAUGACCACCCUGGAACAGUUUAACCACAGGCUUUUAAUGGGGGAGGUCUCAUUUUCCCUCUUGAGUUUGUGGCUUCCUAUUCCACGUUCCAGUGACUGCAAAUGGUCCAGCUUCAAAGUAAUAAAGCAUUUUACAUGUCAACAUAAUCCCAAAUACAAAUUAAGAGCCACGGGCCGCUAAAGGGAGCUAAUUGUCUACAAUAAAAAGGUUAAAAGCUAAUGUAAUAGACCAAGUUAGUGAGAUAGUAUGCAUCUAUUUUUACACCGACUUAAGUCGAAGUCACUUCUUACCAAAAAUCCCUUAAUGAUGAUGAUAAAUCUUUGUUUGUAUGUUAGGGAGCUACUUUGAAGGAAAAGCAAGCAAACAAACCUCUCCCUGCCCCUCCAUCUGGGAAACGGUGUCACGUUUCCUUGUCUUGCAGAGGUGGAGCAUCUGUCCUCCCCUUCUCUCCUAGAGACAUGUCAUGUCUUCUACACCAACAUUAAGCUACCGUCAGCAGAGCUCCUGACUCAUCUGCAGCCUGGUCUCAAUUAUCCCCCUGGCUUACCAGCGUGAGGGUUCAUGCCAAGUCUUCCGAGAAAACCUGCUUUUAAAGAACUCUCACUUUGGCUUACAGUCGAUCACCUCAUCCAACAUCACAUCUGCCAAGUCCAACACUGAAGUAGAAACAUCCAGCCUGACUCCAGCCAACCCUGAAAGAUUAGGUGUAACUAGAGGCCUCAAUAUUCACCCAACAGCACUGGAUGCCACAUACAGUAAGACUGAACCUGCUUCAACAGUAUAUUCAAACAUACAGGACUUCUACUACUACUGUACUGUCCAAACCUUUGAUUUGUUGCAGUGCAACACUGUGUGUUUGGGCUACAUACUCAGUCGCCUUUUCCCAAUUAUUUUGGGGAGAUACUAUGUAAAGUAUUAUUGUUUAUAGAUCUACACUACAGAAGAGCAGUGGUUCCCAAACUUUUUUGGCCUCUGACUCCAUCUUGACAUCACAAUUUUCUGGCGAGCGCAGAGACAUUUUAGUAGCUGUCACUUGUGCAGUCAUAGGAUCGCAGCCAUUAAUCAAGACGCACCAGCUCAGAUAUUUUAAGCAUAAAAUAAGGUUGCCAUGGAGCUUUAUGAAACCUGAAUGAACACUAUUACAUUUAGAAGUCUUAAACCAAUUUUAAAGCUUAUAAUAAAAAAGCUGUUGUGUUAUUUAAAGAAUAAGUGAAAAUUACCAGUUUUUUCCACAUCUCUUUCAUAUUGUGUAGUGGUAGUUUUAAGCCUUGAAAAUAUUUGAUAUUGCUCAUUUAAAGUAUGAAAGACACAUUUAAGGGAUCGUCUGUCACAGGGUAUGAUCAGAACUAAUUGGACUACAGCUGUGGGGACCCUUGAUAAAGAGAAAACUAGAAAAGGAAAUACUAUAAAGAGUUGUCUUAAAUACAUUCUAGGAUGGUCUGUAUUCAUGAGCACAGCUCCCUUAACAGGCAUUUCAACGGCUAGGUUUCUGCAUUUCAAACUUUUGUUUGGUUUUUGCUGCCAUUCAAGCUAACAUAGACACCACUGGAACCACAACAGCCAGAAGUUCUGCUUCAUUAUAUUCUUAUAAACCAGACAACUAAACACCAUGGUCUCAUUUGACAGAGCUGAGGCCUUGGAUGUACCUGCAGUUAAUCCACUGUGGUUUCCGUCUACAUAAAUCAUCACUGACACAGUAAAUAAGGCUAUAGAAAGCUUGCCAGAAAAAAAGUCAUAAACUCUUCCUUUAAAAAUCAGCCUUGCUUUUUGAGAGUGUGUGCAGUGAUGAAACCAAAUAGAUCCCACAAAAGCCUGAGGUCAGACAAAAAAGUGCGCAAUCAACUUCUGUCCUUAAGCAACAGUGGAAAUAAAUGGAAGUUACAGACAAGUUAGGAAAUGUCAGUGAAUGCACCAUUUUUCCAAGCGAUAAUAGCGCUCCCCGGGGUCGGGCAGUUAUCUGAUAUUUCUCUGUGCUGACACUUUACGUGGGAUUUUCUACCAUAAUGCAAAACCUUCUUCACUAAACACAGACACAGACGCAGUGAUUGUGCUGCGUUGAAUGGAACUGGGAGUGGAUAUUUUCAACAAUAACCUUGUGAUCGCUAACAUACUUCUGUGGGCCCCAGAUCAAAUUUCUCUUCCAAGCCGCGGUCUCUUAGUUCAACUUUAAUUCUUAAACACUCUCUCCGCCCAUUCCCUGUCUCCACCUACUCAAUUUAAGGGUUCUGUGCAGUGAUUCUCACUAGAACACUCCUAUUCCAUCAAACCCUGUUCUGGUUCUCUCUAAGCCUGCAGAGGAACACAGUUUUAUUAUUCAUCAAUCCCCACAGGAGCCAGGCGAGGCGAGAGCUUGGGAAAGUUCUCUUCCGGAGUAUAAACUCCCCAGUCUAGGUCACAGCUGACUUUUCUGACCUACACACACCCUGUGACCAACAACUGUAAACCUGAGCCAAGAAAACCAGUAGAUGGAGGAAAAACCAGUGUAACUGACCUGUACUUUAACUCAAGCAAGCUAAAGAAAACUGUUCCAAAAGAUUUCAGAACUAACUGAGGUGGAAUAUGUUUUCUAGAGAUGAAACAAUAGUUAACAGAUUGUAGUUUGUAGAUUGAAUUGGGUUUGACUGCAGUACUCCAUCUUAUGCUCUUUCAUCUUCUUUAUAUAUAUUUAUUAUGUUACAUACAUAUAUUUUGAUGUAUUUACAGUAAGCUUGAAUCUCAUUCUGACUUGAAGUGGUUGAAGGUUAAAUAUUUGAUUUAAAAAUGUUGCACAAACAUGCAUGUAGCUCCUUUUUGUCCCCUCCAGGGGCCAUCUACCUACAACACACCUCAAGAAAAUAUGAAAUACUUAAACCGAUUUCAAAUUCUUAUAUAUAUGGUAUUGUCUAUAAAAUCAUUUACUAAUUUAAUUACAAUAGAAAGGGAAAGGGCCUAUUGUUGCAAAUGAACGCACCAUUAUACACUCCUAGUGUCAUUAAGUAAAUAUAAGAAGUAAAAAGCUUUAUUUUCUUAUGUUGGAAUUAUCUUGGUAUUUUCUUGGGAUUAGGUAUUCAUAUAAAUAUGGAAAAAAGAACGAAACAUCUUUGCAUUUUACUGUGAAUCAUUGAAUCCCUUAAAUGACAGGUGAAUGGCAUUCUUGUCAUUCUUUAGAAAAGAUUAGAUAAGAGGCCAUGACAAGACAAGGUAAACUGAGUAGAGAGGAUAAGAGAGAGGAGGGGGAGGAGAUGGAAGAAGAAGAAAGAAAAGGGGACAAGAGUGGAAAAAGGAAGAGGAAAUGAGUGGAGAAGAGAGAAGAGGACACAUUCUGUUGAUUGUAACUGGAGCAACACUAUGCUAAUAAUUUAGCAUAAUAAUAAUAACUAUAACUAUAACUUAAAUAAUAACUAUUUAAUUUGUCUCAUCAGCUCCUUAAAAAAAGAAAACUCUUCUGAAUAAAUAUAUUUGAAAACUAAGAAUAUUCAAAGCCCUGGUCAACAAAUCCAUGCCGUUGGCUAAUUGGUCCAGUUCUCUGAAGUUGAAGUGUAUUUGCCUCUAUUUCUCUACAAACACUUCAAAACCACACAACAGGAGAAGGAUUCCACAUAUGUAAAUGUUCUACUCGAAAAGAGUCACAGCAGCCAUG